GUUUUAAAAAGUGUAAUAUUAAAGUAAUGUUAAUUUCAUAUAAGAAUGGUCGCAUACGUCAUGUGGAUUGUGUUUAAUUGUCAUGAAUGACACCAAUUUGUCAUCUACAUUGGUAACCAGUAUAUAGAUCAGAGAUAAACAUCGUAAUGUAACUAAAUAUCAGUAAGUAAAAUAUAUUGGGAUGCUAAAAUAUAAAGAAUAGAGAAAAAAUAAUGAGUAAGAUAAAUAAAAGGUAAAAGGAAGAAAUUCACGAAGGAAACGUGACAUAACAAAAGAAUACAGAAAUACCCCCCCCCCCCCCCCCCCCAAUCCGAACCCUCAUGGUAUACACGAUAAUCUGGAUGGAGUAGCAGAAUAUAGAAUAAUAAAUAAGGACAGUAGAGAGUGAUGCUUUGCUAAAAAAUAAUAAUAAUUGUUUAAGAAACAUCCCUGGGUGUUGAAACAGUAACAGAUUUAGUACGGCGGCUUUGUGAAAAAUUGUGCAAAUCCUGUUACAAGCAUGAAAUUUGGCAUAGACCUUCCUCAACCAUUUCUCUUUCAUUUCAGAUAGGGAGGCAUUUGAAAAAAAUGCCUCACUUCCGGUAAAAUUCAAAAUGGCGGACAUCAUACUUAAAUCAGC
rnacentral:lncRNA from 1 species